UGGGGAAUAUUGGACAAUGGGCGAAAGCCUGAUCCAGCAACGCCGCGUGAGGGAUGACGGCCUUCGGGUUGUAAACCUCUUUCAGCGGGGACGAAGCGAAAGUGACGGUACCCGCAGAAGAAGCACCGGCCAACUACGUGCCAGCAGCCGCGGUAAUACGUAGGGUGCGAGCGUUGUCCGGAAUUAUUGGGCGUAAAGGGCUCGUAGGCGGUCUGUUGCGUCGGGAGUGAAAACUCAGGGCUUAACCCUGAGCCUGCUUCCGAUACGGGCAGACUAGAGGUAUGCAGGGGAGAACGGAAUUCCUGGUGUAGCGGUGAAAUGCGCAGAUAUCAGGAGGAACACCGGUGGCGAAGGCGGUUCUCUGGGCAUUACCUGACGCUGAGGAGCGAAAGUGUGGGGAGCGAACA
rnacentral:rRNA from 1 species